GUGGGGAGCAAACAGGAUUAGAUACCCCUGGUAGUCCACGCCGUAAACGAUGAGUGGUAGGUGUUGGGGGGUUCCACCCUCAGUGCUGACGUUAACACAUUAAGCACUCCGCCUGGGGAGUACGGGCCGCAAGGGCUGAAACUCAAAGGAAUUGACGGGGGCCCGCACAAGCAGUGGAGCAUGUGGUUUAAUUCGAAGCAACGCGAAGAACCUUACCAGGUCUUGACAUCCUUCGCUACUUCUAGAGAUAGAAGGUUCCCCUUCGGGGGACGAAGUGACAGGUGGUGCAUGGUUGUCGUCAGCUCGUGUCGUGAGAUGUUGGGUUAAGUCCCGCAACGAGCGCAACCCUUGAUCUUAGUUGCCAGCAUUCAGUUGGGCACUCUAAGGUGACUGCCGGUGACAAACCGGAGGAAGGUGGGGACGACGUCAAAUCAUCAUGCCCCUUAUGACCUGGGCUACACACGUGCUACAAUGGAUGGUACAAAGGGCAGCGAAACCGCGAGGUUGAGCGAAUCCCAUAAAGCCAUUCUCAGUUCGGAUUGCAGGCUGCAACUCGCCUGCAUGAAGCCGGAAUUGCUAGUAAUCGCGGAUCAGCAUGCCGCGGUGAAUACGUUCCCGGGCCUUGUACACACCGCCCGUCACACCACGAGAGUUUGUAACACCCGAAGUCGGUGAGGUAACCUUUUGGAACCAACCGCCGG
rnacentral:rRNA from 1 species